GGAAUCUUGGUCAAUGGGCGCAAGCCUGAACCAGCGAUGCCGCGUGAGUGAUGAAGGCCUUCGGGUUGUAAAGCUCUGUGGGGAGGGACGAAAGAGCGAGGUCUAACAGGCCUGGUGUUGACGGUACCUCCUUAGCAAGCACCGGCUAACUCUGUGCCAGCAGCCGCGGUAAGACAGAGGGUGCAAACGUUGCACGGAAUCACUGGGCGUAAAGGGCGUGUAGGCGGGCAGGAAAGUCAGAUGUGAAAUCCCUGGGCUCAACCCAGGAACUGCAUUUGAAACUCCCUGCCUUGAGUGCUGGAGAGGAAAGCGGAAUUCCUGGUGUAGAGGUGAAAUUCGUAGAUAUCAGGAGGAACACCGGUGGCGAAGGCGGCUUUCUGGACAGUAACUGACGCUGAGACGCGAAAGCGUGGGGAGCAAAC
rnacentral:rRNA from 1 species